GACGAACGCUGGCGGCGUGCUUAACACAUGCAAGUCGAGCGGCGCGGCGAACGGGUGAGUAACGCGUGAGUAACUGCCCCCCUCUCUGGGACAACAGUUGCAAACGGCUGCUAAUCCUGGAAAGAGGGGGAUGACACGCGGCCUACCAGCUGGUUGGUGGGGUAGUGGCCUACCAAGGCGACGACGGGUAGCCGGCCUGAGAGGGCGACCGGCGACCUUGGGCUGAGAUACGGCCCAAACGCCUACAGGAGGCAGCAGUGGGGAAUAUUGCACAAUGGGGGAAACCCGGAGGCAGCAAGGCGCGUGCGGGAUGGCGGGCUUCGAGUUGUAAACCGCUUUCAGCCAUGACGCGGUAGUGGCAGAAGAAGCACCGGCUAACUACGUGCCAGCAGCCGCGGUAAUAC
rnacentral:rRNA from 1 species